rnacentral:rRNA from 1 species
GAUGAACGCUGACAGAAUGCUUAACACAUGCAAGUCAUUGGCGAAGCUGCGCUUGCGCAGUCUAGCCAAGGCGGACGGGUGAGUAACGCGUAAGGAACUUGCCCUGCAGACAGGGAUAACAGACGGAAACGACUGAUAACACCUGGUAUUGUCAGGCUGGCGCAUGCCGGCCUGAUGAAAGGAGACGCCGCAGGAGAGCCUUGCGUCCUAUUAGCUAGUUGGUGGGGUAACGGCCCACCAAGGCGAUGAUAGGUAGCCGGCCUGAGAGGGUGAACGGCCACAAGGGGACUGAGAUACGGCCCUUACUCCUACGGGAGGCAGCAGUGGGGAAUAUUGGACAAUGGGGGCAACCCUGAUCCAGCAAUUCUGUGUGCACGAAGAAGGUUUUCGGAUUGUAAAGUGCUUUCAGCAGGGAAGAAGAAAGUGACGGUACCUGCAGAAGAAGCGACGGCUAAAUACGUGCCAGCAGCCGCGGUAAUACGUAUGUCGCAAGCGUUAUCCGGAAUUAUUGGGCAUAAAGGGCAUCUAGGNNNCCUUGUAAGUCUAGGGUGAAAACCUGNNNCUCAACCNCAGGCCUGCCCCGGAAACAANAGGGCUGGAGUAUCGAAGAGGUGGACGGACCUGCCCGAGUAGAGGUGGAAAUUNNUNGAUAUGUGCAGGAAUGCCGAUGAUGAAGAUAGUUNACUGGACNGNCNCUGACNCNNAANNNCGAAAGCCANGGGAGCAAACAGG